GUAGGUGGCAAGCGUUGUCCGGAAUUAUUGGGGCGUAAAGCGCGCGCAGGCGGUCCUUUAAGGUCUGAUGUGAAAGCCCACGGGCUCAACCGUGGAGGGUCAUUGGAAACUGGGGGACUUGAGUACAGAAGAGGAAAGCGGAAUUCCACGUGUAGCGGUGGAAUGCGUAGAGAUGUGGAGGAACACCAGUGGCGAAGGCGGCUUUCUGGUCUGUAACUGACGCUGAGGCGCGAAAGCGUGGGGAGCAAACAGGAUUAGAUACCCUGGUAGUCCACGCCGUAAACGAUGAGUGCUAAGUGUUAGGGGGUUUCCGCCCCUUAGUGCUGCAGCUAACGCAUUAAGCACUCCGCCUGGGGAGUACGGCCGCAAAGGCUGA
rnacentral:rRNA from 1 species